ensembl:lncRNA
UGAAAAAUUACUUUCUGUCCAAGAGUAAAAAAAUAAAUAUAAAGGAGCAGAGGAUGCCGUGUCCUUGGUCGGCAGUAGGGGUUGGGGAGAAAUCCCUGAGGUUAAUCUGUCUAAUAGCAGCAAUCCUGGCUGUCACAACCAGCCUGAGAGCCCCUUGCUGCCUCAGAUGACUUUGUUUUGUCCCUGUCUGAGAAAGCCCAACUGAUUAGGACUGCGUUCAAAUUUAUUUGUGUGUCUUUACGUGUGUGCGCUACCCUUAAAAAUUGAGCCACAUAUACAUUGGUUUGUGUUCUGUGGAACAGAUCAAAUUGUCCCCUUAUGCUCACACUCACUUUUCUAUGGCCGUGUGUGUGCAUGCUUGUGUGUGUGUGCGUGCACAAAACAUAACACCAAACUGUCCUUUCUUUCAAGUGUAGCUCACACUCCUUCCUUACCUCCCCAAAUUCACUUCCAAUGUCAAUCCACACACUUGCCAGCCUUUUCAAAUCAACUCACACACACACACACACACACACACACACACACACACACACACACACACACACACACACACACACACACACACACACACACACCGAAAGUUAUGGUACAGUGCCAAAGCUUACUUUCUGUCACAGUCAACUCAUCAUUCAAACCCCUUUGCUGGUGUCUACGAGGCCCUCAUUACACUAUUGAUGAACACUUAUAAUGUAACAAGUGCAUAUAUCUUUACAAGUGCAUAGAUUUUACUGCUGGUGAUUCCUUUAGUGAAAGUGAAAAGCGCACGCUAAGCGUGACACUUUGCUACUCAGCAUGCAGCACAUGGUUUAGUACUGCUUAAUUAUUGAAACUGUAUUAUCACAUCAGUUAGGGGAAAGUGUGGGGAUCUGCAGCCUUUGUCACUGUAUGUUGUUAAACUGAAAAUCUGAGAAAAUGCUUGACCUUGGUAGCCAUGAGAAGGUCAAACAGGCUGUGCAUGCGGUUGGGAUCUCUACAUUUAUAAAUACAUCACAACAUUGCAAAAGACAAGUGAUGGAGACAAUGUUUCAAAUUAUAAGCGAGAAAUGGGCAAUUUGCCAUAUGCUGCUGUAAAUAUAUAGUGGCGUAAUAUCUAGGAGGAAGCCAAUCUCUUGUUUACAUAGCUGGGCAGUAUGCAUGCAUCCUGUCCAUCAUGAUUAAUUAAUAUUAAGGCGUAAUCUAUGUUUGCUUCACUCGUGAAGCAUCAAGCCUCUAACCACAGAGAAAAUAGAAACUCAAUACGAUAAAACAACAUGCAACACAAUCUGAAAAUGUUUGAGUAAGAAACUUUUAGUAUUUUUUUCUUUUACACUGGUGGACAAGCAGGGGCAAAAUAAUCCCUGUUCAUUCUAAUAAAUCCGUAACAAUACAUUGUAGACAAGAAGUAUUUCUUAAACUGCAUGACAAUGUUUAUAGUCCAAGCACCAAUCCAAUCCACCACCCAUACACGACUUUUCUUUGCAGCGUCCCAGGUGGCCCGAGUCUAUCCCGGCUCAAAUUGGGUAGGAGACAAGGUCAGUUUUAUAUAUAUAUCACCUAAAAUCACAAAUGACACAUUUGCCUCAGAGGGAUUUUUCAAUCUGUACAACAUGCAAGGCCCGCUAUUCUAAGACGUGGUCCGUUCUAUGAAUUAGGUCAAGCAAAUAAGGUUCCACAUACGUGACGCCUAAAGAUCAGUAGCCAUGAAGGAUUGUCGGAACCAGUCCGUUUUUAAAUGUAACAAGUAAGAUGAACAAGGGGUGUUUUACCAUCUUUUAGGAUGCAGUGGAGAUAGGCUUGGUAUAAAUAACAACAUAUUUUAAAGAUUGAAAUACAAGGCUGCUGAAGAAAAUUUAAAGAUAUAAAAGUUAAUCCUAUAGUUAAUCAUAUAACAGCUCAUAUCCACCACCCCGAGCUGAGGAGCACUCAGCAGCCCGAGAAGAAGGAGGAAUUUGAUCACUAUUGACACCCUUCUCAAUCAAAGUUUAUCAGGGCUCAGCCAACAACUAACAUCCCACUAUAUCCUAUAAAAGUGUCAACAACUAAAUGCAAGUCAUUUGUUUGGUUAUUUGGUUGCAGUAAAUGUUCUUUUUUGUGUUCAUUUGGCUGUGAAAGCAGCAGCUCCAAUCAUUACCUUAAUUUAGUUUGUUUGUCAGAAAGGUGUAACGUACUGUGUGUCCUCACGUUAUAAACUUGAGUGAAAAGAGCAGAGGGACGAUGUGAACACAGGAUUGUUUCGUUUGGUUAGAGAAGCUCCAGCUCCCUGUUGGACAAAUCCGUGAGAAAGGAACAUUUAUACACCACGAACACAUUAGUACUACACGGCCAUGAUCGAGUCCAUCCUCUGCUCCUCCAUCAUGCUGCAGCCACAGCCAAGGACAAGAGCAGGCUGCAGCGUGUUAUGCGCUCUGCAGAGAGGGUGAUCGGCUGCAAUCUGCCGUCACCUCCAGGACUUGUUCUCUUCUACGACCCUGAAGCGAGCUAAAAAGAUCGUUGCCGACCCCUCUCACCCCGGACAAAACCUGUCCAUCAGGACCAAGACCGCCAACGUUUCUUCCUGUCCGCAGUCGGGCUCAUCGACAGAGACCAGGUCCCCCACUGACUCACUGUCAUCCUGACUUCAUACCGGUCACUCCCUUCACACUGCACAUGCACUUGUCACUUUUUGCUCGCUGGCGCACUUUUUCAUUUAAAUUCCUCUUGCACUAUGUUGUUCUUGCACUACGCUGUCCUGUCUGUCUUGUUGUCCAUUGUCUUACUGUCUGAUGUUACGCACCAACCGUCAAGUCAAAUUCCUUGUAUGUCGAACAUAUUUUGGUGAAAUUUUUUUUCCUGAUUCCUGAGUUUGUCAAUCCAUCAUGGUAAUUGGGUUGCAAAGUCUUUGCAAGUGCUCACAAUUGUUGGUGUUUGCUUUACAUCAGGUUGCACCAUUGAAGAGGAUGCUUUUAGAUAAUACUUAUGAAAUGUGUAAAUCGGUUGUCAGGCAUGGUCUACAGCUAUGUCUGUCAUAAGCGACCAGCGUAGUAAACACAAAUGUCCUGUAGCAUCACAACCUCAUACAGCUUGCAGUUUAUUUCCAUACACAUUUUUUUUUUGCAUGUUUAUUUUCCAUAUUUAUGCACCCAGCAGAUACAGCAGCAGCAACAUUAUUUUUUUCUUUUGUCCGCAUGACAAAUGCAUCUCCAAAAGGCUGUGUUUUGGUUCCAUUCCUGUGGGAAAUACCCAAAUCUUAAGCUGCUACAUGCUCCAUGAUGGCCAGCAUGUUGACUCACGUUGUCACCCGUUCUUACUAUUGGGUGUCGGGUAACAAGCCGACAGUGAGCUGGUCAGAGUAGAACAUCUACACGCUGUAGCUGAAGACAAGCUUGGUUAGAGCAAUGAGACGUCAGUGACAGGCCAUUAGGGCCAAAUCCGUUAUUUUUUUAAGGAUGACAAUGCAUGACUGAAAGGUUGCAUUACAGCAAAAUCAGAUUGUGCAUCUGAAUAAACGUAAGAGUUGGCAUACAUUUAAAGCCAUUUAGAAGUAUACAAGCUGAUAAGGCAAGUGUCCUCGCUUAAUUAACUGAGAGUGACUUUCCAUUUAAUCACUUCUGCAGAUGCUGUAAGGCAUGAAUUCCUUCCGGUGGCUUGUGUUUCAUGAUAGCAAUAAAUGAACCUGUGCCAGGAAUGGGGAUAAAUAAAACAUAUUUCUGGGGUUUGUUAUUGUGGUGAUGACACACCGCUGUAAACAUCCACAACUGCUUUGAGGAUUUGGUGGUAAUCAUAUCAUUGUUGUUGGGAAAGAUGCAUGACAUUCGCUGAAGUUCCAUCGAGCCUCGAGAGACCCACAAAGUACACAUAAAGUUACCACUGAUCUUUAAUCAAUUUAUCCUGCAAUAAGCCGUAGAAAUAGUGGAUGGAGCUGCAUUAAACGGUUUCACUUCAAAAGUCAGAUCUAUACCUUUGAAAAUGGACCUCUGAAUGAUUCCUUUCAGCUGAGUAGUUACUGUAAACAAACCAACAAAAGUGAGCUUUUGUUUGACUAAAUCUAAUAUUCUGUUUGGGGUCUUGGACACCCUAUAGCCUCCUCUAACAUCUCACAGAAACAAACAAGAUCUAAACUUUGAAUAAUCUGCUUGAUACUCGGUGACUCGGUUGCCUACGUGCUUAGAAUUUUGAUUUUAAAUUUGUUUUAGAAAACCGACACAUUCACUUGUGUUUGGGGUCGUAGAGAGAAGAGAAUGUGACAAUGCUGAAGAGUAAAACAAAGGUCAGAAGAUACAAUUUAAACUGUUUUUCUAGUGCAUCUAGACACAGACUAAGUAGGGCUAUUUAAUGUCUGAAACAUUCCAUUUGUAUAGCAAAAGAUAGAUUCUUUUUUUUCUUCAUGCUAAACGGAAUACCCUUAAUUCUUCAUUUCACCGGCAGAUUUCCGUAAAGGGCGCUGGCAAUUGAUUCCAGCAGUACCAUCAAGGUUUAAUCCAUGUAUCAUAAUCAUAUACUAACCUUGAACGUUGUUCGAGCCAAAAUCUGCAUCUCUAUUAAAUCUGUGAAUUUUAAUUAACAUUGCCGAUGAGUCCAGCGUUAGUUGCUGUGGCCAUAUGCUCAUCUCCCUCAGCUUCACAGCAGCUGAAUCAGUGGUCGUCUCUUUUAACCAGAAAACACAAUAUGACAGCAUUUGGCAAGGCCUGUUUUCUCAUCUUAAUACCGUGGUUGGUGCCAAAGCUUAAUUUACUUUUUGAGGGGUUGGAGCACAGCGGCAGCAGGUGGCAGUGUUGUUCUUCUGCAGUUCCAUUGCGGGUUUCUUGGCCUCUGCUGAGGCCCAGCGUUGAUCAAUUAGUUUAUGGAAUGUUGCGUAGACUUUGGUGUACUGGCUCUUGUCCGCUUUUCGCUCUUCACCCGCAGGUCACAGACAGAUUAACAGAUAAAUGAAUCACUAUAGAGCAUUCCAGUGUGUGGUAGAAUCAAUAGAAAUGGCUUCAGAAAUUAGAAGAGGAUCUCGCUUUCUCCUUAUUGUCAAUCCCCCAUCGCCAAAGCUCAAACAGAUAUACUUUACAACUUUACUUGAAUAACGUGUGAUUGUUCAACAAAACAGUUUGGAAGAAUCAAGGCUUAUUCAUUGUCAAUAAAUUAAUAUAAAAAAAGAGACAUAAAAGAGGUGAUGGAAAACCUUUCAAGCUCUACUGAAAACCAACUGGUUGUUAAGCAUAUUGUUAAUUUCAAUGAAAAUUAAUUUCCUUUCAUUUUAAUUGUGUAAGGUCAACUAACUUUGAAUAGCUUAGUGAGCCCACUAUUAUCAUUAAAUGUGUGCUGAUUGGGACUGGCCUCAGCUGAACAGUUAAUGUGCUUGAAAUAGAACAUAAAAUUGUGGGUGCAAACCUUCUGGGAAAACGAUAAGGAGAAUCCUCUCUUUUUAAUGAAUCAAUUGUGUUCCUAGCAAAAAGAAAUCCAUUACAUACCUAAAUAUCGCUUAAUGAAAGACAAAGAAGUUAAACGCUUAGCAAUCAGUCGAGAUAGGAAGGCACUUAAUUUUUUAUUUAAAGGAAAUACAGUCAUUAAUUAGCAAGAAUAAUGGGAGUAUGUGUUUGAAGCAUACACCUAAGGGUAGACAUGUUCUUGAUCAAAGCACCGGAGUUGGAUGAAACUUUCGGAUCAAACACCUAAAUUAAAAGGAAUAAAGGCACAUAUUUUUAGAUACGCAGGGAGACAAGUGAAGUUUAAGUGGCUGUAGAUGUUAAUCACAGCUGUUUCCAACGUGUUGGCUUGUGAGGCGUAUGUCUCAUUUCUUCAUAAUUUCGUUGUACGUUAGCAACCCUGUUGUAUGAGUCUAUUCCGGUUCCUUUCUCUCCUUGUCAGAAUGGGAUGAAACAAAAGGCAAUUCGGCUGAGUUUCUGAGUUUUUCCUUCCUGUUCUAAGGAGAGACAAAUUGUGACAGCUACCAGGACUGUGUUUUCGCUCUUCUCUGGCGACGUGUUAUGCAUUAUAUAUUUAAUAUCCUCCUUGAGUGUCACAGCAGGACCGGAAAUUCUACAAAUCUAGUACUUGUGCGGGAUUGUUGAAGAAUUUCUGAAGAAUUGCUGUUUGUGUUUGCAGAGCAGAGUUUCCUCUUAAACCUCGGCUCUGACUCUCAGAUCGCCUUUUUAACAGUGUCACAGCAUGAAGGUCAUCACUAAUUCAACAUGCUGCACCCUGACCAAGUAACAAAAAUGUCCAUGAGAAAGACAAGAAAGCCUCUGUUUAACAUAUUUAAUGCCAGCCAUGUGUGUGGAUCUAAUCAUACGCAUUCUCUUUGAAAGCCCCGAAAAUGAUAAUUAAUUUUUCACGGUGUGAAUUAAAAUCCUAAUUUGGAAAUGUGCGAUCAAAAGAAACAAUUUCAAUAGCUGGUUAGUGGAAGUAAUCCUUGGUGAACAAGGACAAGAGGCGAUGGGGUUCAAAAUAUACCCAGUGGCAGCUUCACAGAAGAAAGCAAAGAGGUUUUUACUCAUUUUUGCUGAAUCAUGGUAAUAAACAACAUAUACAUAGUAAACCACAUUUACAUUUUUUCCCAUUUUAGUUUCUUCUCAAAAUCGCACACCUUUUCAAGAAACUUACACAACUGUGCAUUCCUUGUGACUGCACGCAUCAAUAGGUUGUAAUACACGUUUGACAAGUAGCUAAAUGAGCAGUGCACACAUUCAGUACGUUGCAUCGGAAUCAGACGUGCAGGCUGGAUGGAGAGGUCGCCGAGGUUGUGAAUCACAGAGGAAUCCUAAUCAGGCCCUGUUGCAACUCUAAUUAAUUACAGCCCAGAGGGCAAAAGAUCACACAGAGACCUAAAAGCUUGCACACGGGCUAGCACACACAGGCUAGCACACACUCUGUAAUGACCUUAGAUUCUACCACUUUCCCUCAGCUGGCCGCCCCAGUUAUAUAUCCAGAUACUGACUUUUGACUUAUCUCCAGAGCACUUGGCUGGACUUGUUGCAUCAAGCUACUUUGUGUGUGUAGGCGGCAGCAGCAAAACAGAAAAAGUUUGCACUUGAGAAACGAUGGGAGUCACAGUUGCUGGUCAGAAAUCAAAGCCAGUAUCCGUCAGUGUGAUUUUCUUUUGGCAAAAUAUUGAGUCCAGCAAGCUUGUUUCCCAUCAAUUUUGAAGGAAUAACACUAAUAAGACAUUUUUAGAUAUCUAUUUUUUAGUAUUAGACUAACUUCUGUCAAGGCUGACGGUCAUGGAAAAAUAUCAACAUGAUGAAUACAGAAUCAAACAAGGAAAUGUAUUCAGAAAUGCACUACUAGCUGUAGCCCUUUAACGUGUAUUCUCAGUUUGGCAAAUGGUUGCUCACCAAUGGUUAAAUGUGUCACGGUGUGGUUUUAGUUCCUGUCUUAUUUUGUAGUUUUCGGCUUCUUGUCUCCCUGGGUAACUUCACUUCCUGCCUUGUCCUGUCAUCGUCUGUGAUUGUCUGAUUGUUUCACCUGCACCUCCCUAGUGUAUUUAUGCUGUGUGUGUCUCCUGUCACUUGCCUGCCUCUCGUUCCUGCCUGCCUUUUUGAUCCCCGUUCCUGUGUGUGUUUUUGCCCGUUGGCCUUUGCUUUUGCUUUUUGCUUGCCCGUUUUGACUAUUAAAGUCUCUUUUGUUUAAACUCUGCGUUUGAGUCCUGCAUUCCUACCCAACCCUGACAAAAUGGCGCGACCCAGAAAGGACGCAGCAAUCUCCCGUUGCCGUUCCCCGCCAGUACCGGUCCCGAGACUCUCAGCCCUGACCCCGACUCGGCCAAUACCGGCUCCGAGACUCAUGACCCUGACGCCCCCAGUCCGCGCUCCGAGACUCAUGACCCCGACGCCUCCAGUCCCCGCUCUGAGACUCAGGCUCUCUCCCUCCCAUCCCAUGGUCCGCUCCCACCCUCCCGUUGGUGAGUUGAGGGCCGUCUGGGAUCCGGCCCUUGAGGGGGGGGCUGAGCCGCCGACUGUGGAGGUGUCCCGUGUCCCCGAGCCGCCGCUGACGACUGCGUAGGUGUCCCGUGUCCCUGAGCCGCCGCUGACGACUGCGGAGGUGUUCCGUGUCCCCAAGCCGCCGCUGCCGACUGCGUAGGUGUCCCGUGUCCCUGAGCCGCCGCUGACGACUGCGGAGGUAUUCCG